ensembl:snoRNA
AUCCUUUUCCGGGGCGUAGCAUGAUUGGGUUUGCUCACGUUUGUAUGACAUGUGCCUCCCAUAAGCCUUGUUACGACGUCGACACGUUACCUGUCUGACA